AGGGUCCUACGGGGCGCAGCAGUGGGGGAUAUUGGACAAUGGGGGGAACCCUGAUCCAGCGACGCCGCGUGCGUGAAGAAGUAUUUCGGUAUGUAAAGCUCUGUCAGCAGGGAAGAAAGAAAUGACGGUACCUGACCGAGAAGCCCCGGCUAACUACGUGCCAGCAGCCGCGGUAAUACGUAGGGGGCAAGCGUUAUCCGGAAUUACUGGGUGUAAAGGGAGCGUAGACG
rnacentral:rRNA from 1 species